UGGGUCUGGGCUGUGGUUGGGGUCACUGAGAAUUAGAUUUUAGUCUGUAGUUUGGUCUGUGACAGUUUAGACAUGCACCAAUGAAUAGGAGAACCGCUGAAGCAGACCUUGAGAAAGGGCCUGGCCUGUGGGGAUUCCUUAGGCCAUGGAGUUUCGAUUUUAGAAAAUUUGAAGUAUUAACACUUACCAGAGGUUGGGUGAAUACUAUCCUGGCAAAUGCUGGAAUGGAAAUUAAUUGACUUAGUAGUUUUCUUCACUGCCCAGUUUAUCUGGUCCAGAAGAAUUGGUGCCCUAUUAUUCAGGCUGGAUUGCAGUACACAAGAUUAUAAUUAAUGGUGGGGAGAGUACAUUUGGUGGCCCUUCUUUGGAUACUUCAUUUGUAGGUCAAAUUAGUCUAGUUGGCUGGAUUGGUUCCAUAAGUCUGUGGCUGCUGAGAGAUCUUCUGCCAUUCAGUUCCUGAUGUGAACUGUGAGGGAGUUCUUCUCCAGUGAGAGAAUACUCUCUCAUUCAGGCAUGGAGGCAUUGAAGAGAAUGUAUCAGCCAGCAAAGUGUGGGCCUGCAGCAUGGAGGAUCUAGAAUAUCUGUUCUGGUUUUAGGUUGCAAGGAGGUCAGGACUAGUUAUCAUAAGGUCUAGGGGAACCUAGGAGACUGAAUGAUUCUAGAGCCAAGUUGGAGGGAGGAGUAGCAUCUCUGUAUCAGAAAAUGAACCAAGCUCCCUCUGGAUUUGCUGAGCUCACACUAGACCAGAUUUCCAAGAAGGAACUCUGGGCUAGAACCAUACUCUUAAUCUACCCGGAUAUUAUUCAACUUUUAUUAAGAAAAAACUAUAUGCACAUUACAUGGUAAUAUUUCUUCAACUGAAGAGAGGAUAAUAAACAUGUUAAGUAUGAGAAAUCUUUUUAUGGUAGUAGAGGUUGAAGGGAUUAAUGGGGAAGAUGGAAUGAAAUUUGGGAGAGGGAAAGAAAAAUCCAAUUGUUUAUUCCUUUAGCAGCUAUCUCAAAGGAGAGUAAUAAUUUAGCAUUAGAAUGGAGAGUGCUUUCUUUAAUUAUAUAUUUUCUUAAUAGAAAUAAUCCAAAAUUAUUCUUAUUUUUUUGAGACAGAAUUUCACUCUUGUGGCGCAGGCUGGACUACAAUGGUGCAAUCUUGGCUCACUGCAACCUCCACCUCCCAGGUUCAAAUGAUUCUCCUGCCUCUGCCUCCUGAGUAGCUGGGAUUACAGGUGUCCGCCACCACACCUGGCUAAUUUUUGUAUUUUUAGGAGAGAUGGGGUUUCACCAUGUUGGCCAGGCUGGUCUCCUGACUUCAGGUGAUCUGCCUGCCUCGGCCUCCCACAGUGCUGGGAUUAUAGGCGUGAGCCACUGUGGCUGCCAGAUUUACUCAUUCUUUUUUUUUUUUUGGGGAUGGAGUUUUGCUCUUGUUGCCUAGGCUGCAGUGCAGUGGUGCUAUCUUGGCUCACCGCAAUCUCUGCCUCCCGAGUUCAAGUGAUUCUCCUACUUCAGCCUCCUGAGUAGCUAGGAUUACUGGCUAAUUGUGUAUUUUUAGUAGAGACAAGGUUUCUCUAUGUUGGUUACAGGCUGCUCUCAAACUCCUGACCUCAGAUAAUCUGUGUGCUUCAGCCACCAACAAUUCUGGGAUUGCAGGUGUGAGCCACCGUGCCUGGGCUUUUUUUUUUGAGACAGGGUCUCCCUUUGUCCCCUAGGCUGGAGUACAGUGGCUUGGAUCAUACCUCACUGCAGCCUUCACCUCCUGGGUUCAAGGGAUCCUCCUACCUCAGCCUCUUGAGUAGGUAGAACUAUAGGCAUGCAUCCCCAUGCCCAGAUAAUUUUUUAGUUUUUUUGUAGGGAAGAGAUCUCCCUGUGCUCUCUGGGCUGGUCUCCAACUCCUGGCCUCAAGCAGUCCUUUUGUCUAGGCCUUCCAAAGUGCUGGGAUUACAGGUGUGACAUCAUACCUGGCUACUCAUUCUUUUUAGGGCUUUUUUUUGCCCCUUCUCCUGGAGUCUCGCUCUGUUAACCAAGCUGGAGUACAGUGGCAUGAUUUCAGCUCACUGCAACCUCUGCUUCUUGGGUUUGAGCGAUUCUUCUGCCUCAGCCUCUCAGAGUAACUGGGGUUACAGGCAUGCACCACCAAGUCCAGCUAAUUUUUGUAUUUUUAGUAGAGGUGGAGUUUUGCCAUGUUUGCGAGGCUGAUCUUGAACUCCUGGCCUCAAGUGAUCUCCCUGCCUUGGCCUCCCAAAGUGUUGGGAUUACAGGUGUGAGCCACAGUGCCCGGCCAGGGCUUUUUUUUUUUUUAAUCAUAAUAUGCUAUACUAAUUUUAUUAUGAUCAUAGCAUGACAGGGCUAGUCUUCCUUCCCUUUUCUCUCACCAGCACUGUUUAUUGUGUGUUUUUUUAUUUUUGUAAGCGGAAUGCACUUAAAUAUUGUGUUUAUUAUAUUGUCUUUACAUUGUCUUUCUACCCUUUUAUUAUAAAAUUUCUCUGAGGGAAUUUAUUAUGAAAAGCAGUAGCCCCUGUCUCACCUGUCUAUUGCAGUUCUACUUUACUGAGGCUGCUAUUUCUAAGCAUUAAUUUUGUAUUUCUUAACCAUGCUUUUUUCCAUGUCUCCAAGUAAUAGGCAUAUAAUGUCAUUUCUUGAUUUAUCAAAAUGACAUUAUCAGGGAGUCAGAAGACUUCUAUGAAUGUGUAAUUGACAUUAUUCCCUUUCUCCUUCUUUCUGACGUUUGGUAGUUAAUUUAGUUAUUUUAUUCAGUGUGUUUAUGUUUUUUGAUAAUAUGCAUAAACCUUGAUUUUGGAGUCCAACAAUCUUAGGCUUUAUCUCUUGACUUCCCCAUUAUAUUAGAUAAGGAUUUAGCCUAAAUAAGGCUUUCCUGAAGUAGAAGGAACAUUGACAAUUACAGUAAAAAUGCUAGAUGAAUGUUAAAGGGAAGUUUGGAUGGACUUAUCAAAAAGACCAUGUUGUAGGAAACAUCUAAGCAUAAUAUUUGCUUGUUAGAGAUGAAGAGGAGUUGCUUAAUAAUGAUAAUUGUUCAUCCUCGAAUUAGCAGUUUGCAGUAUUCUUUGACAGUCUUCUGGAGAGUUUUAGUGUGGGAAAUCUGGAAAUGCAUUAUAAUGACCUUUGAAUGUUCUUUCUAGGCUUCUAUGGCAAUUCCUUUUUUGUUUGUUUUUUGAGGCAGGAUCUCACUUUGUUACCUAGACUGUAGUGCAGUGGUGUGAUUUUGGCUCACUGCAGCCUCCACCUCCUGGGUUCAAGCAAUCCUCCCACCUUAGCACCGCAGGUAGCUGGGAAUAAAGACAUGUGCCACCACUUCCAGCUAAUUUUUUUGUAAAGAUGGGGUUUUGCUAUGUUGACCAGGCUGGUCUUGAACUCUUGGGCUCAAGUGAUCUGCUUGCCUCAGCCUCCCAAAGUGCUAGGAUUAUAGGUGUGAGUCACUGUGCCGGGCCACAAUUCUUACGUUUUUAUUUUUAGGAGGGAAUGGAUUGGUGUGGACACAUGUUUUUUGCAGGGAUGGGGGAAGGAGAGGUGGGGAAAUGUGAUAGGAGGAGGAUGAGGAACAGGGUUUGAUGGAGGUGGUGAUACAUAUUGAGGAUGCUAAAGAAAAGGUAAAGUAUUUUGAGGGGAUUUGGAUGUAGUUAUUGUGACGGAAGUUUACCUUAUGGUGAUGAGACUAGAAUUUUUGUCACCUUUAAGGAAAUUAGCAUGUUUAAAUUACUAAUAUGUUGGGAAUGUGAUAGGAAAAAACUGUACUGGGCUCAAUGUCAUAUGUUAGGAUAGAGUUGUAAAAUAUUAGUGUUUUUGAAAUUUGCAUAUGAGAUGCAAAUAAAUCAUUGUGGUGGAUAUUGGGAAAAUAGAAAGAUACUGUUCCACUUUAUUUAGGAGCCUUUAAAUAAUGGCACCUCUUGAAAGUCUUCCUUUCUUUUUUUUUUUUUUUGAGGCAGAGUCUUGCACCAUCGCCCAGGUUGUAUUGAGUGCAGUGGUGCAAUCUCAGCUCACUGCAAUCUCUGUCACCUGGGUUCAAGCAAUUCUCCUGCCUCAGCCUCCUGAGUAGCUGGGACAACAGGCAGCCGCCACCACGCCCAGCUAAUUUUUUUUGUAUAUUUAGUAGAGAUGGGGUUUCACCACGUUAGCCAGGAUGGUCUCGAUCUUCUGACCUCGUGAUCUGCCUGCCUCGGCCUCCCACCUGAACAGUUUUUUAAGGCUGAUGACAUUGGUCUAUUGUAAGGAUGCUUGCUACAGCAUGAGCCACUGUACCCGGCUAAAAGUCUUCCGUACUUUCAGUAGCAACACUAUUCACAUGUAGGUUAUGUAUUGCUAAAUUUUGUAUUUGUGACAAUUAUUCUCUUUGUUUUACAAAUGGUAAAUGGUAACCUGUUCUAGAGCAGAGACUUCCUGUAUCUCUAGGGAAACUCACAACAGGCUGAUUCUUUUUUUUUUUUUGAGAUGGAGUUUUGCUCUUGUUGCCCAGGAUGGAGUGCAAUGAUGUGAUCUUGGCUCACCACAACCUCUGCCUCUUGGGAUCAAGUGAUUCUCCUGCUUCAGCCUCCCGAGUGGCUGGGACCACAGGCACGUGCCACCAUGUCCAGCUAAUUUUGUAUUUUUAGUAGAGACAGGGUUUCUCCAUGUUGGUCAGGCUGGUCUUGAACUCCUGACCUCAGGUGAUCUACCUGCCUCAGCCUCCCAAAGUGCUGAGAUUACAGGCGUGAGCCAACAGGUUGAUUCUUAAGUGCUUAAUAAAUACCUGUUGAAUGACUGAUGGAAAGUGGGGUUCACUAUUAGUGAUAAUAGUGGGAUUGUAUGAAAUUGCUGAGUACUGUGGGGGUAUUGAGACAAAACGGUGUGUGUGUGUGUGUUUGACAGCGUGAAGGACAAAAGGGAUAUCUGACUGGAGAGGACCUUUGACAGCAUGAAGGACAAAAGGGAUAUCUGACUGGAGAGGACCUUUAGAUUUAAGGGAAGAAGGCAGACUGGAUUAGAAUGGAACUGCAAGAGUUCUGCAACAACAUUGAAGACCAAGAGGUCUCUUCUAAAUUUGAGGCUAGUUUAAUCUGGAGUAAAAUCUGGUCUGUAGCAGGGUGCUAUUUUAAUUUAGUUUUUUUUUUUCUUUAGGCAUAAAUGACUGUUUUAAGACUGAUUUAAUUCAUUUUUAGGAUAGUAAAAAUAACAGAUAAGCUUCUUCCCUCAAGAAAUUUAUAGUAUUUACAUUCUUUUUUUUUUUUUUUGCGAUGGGGUCUCACUCUGUUGCCCAGGAUGGAGAGCAGUGGUAUGAUCUCGGCUCACUGCAACCUCCGCCUCCUGGGUUCAAACAAUUCUCUUGCCUCACCCUCCUGAGUAGCUGGAAUUACAGGAGCAUGCCACCAUGCCUGGCUAAUUUUUACUAAUUUUUGCAUUUUUGGUAGAGACAGGGUUUCACAGGCUGGUCUUGAACUUCUGACCUCAGGUCAUCUGCCCACCUUGGCCUCCUAAAGUAGUAUUUACAUUCUUUUGAGAGAGAAAGAUAGUUGUAAAAUAAUUCAGUAACAGUGUAAGAUUUCAGAAGAUCGAUUUUUAAAAACAAAUAUCAAAACUAUAUCUCCAGGUAAGAAUUUUUAUAUUUGGGUGGUCAUUUUCAGUAGCAGCGUUCAGAAUAUUUUUAGAACACCUUUUCUGAAUUAAUUUCUGAGUAUAACUAUGUAAUUUACCUAUUUAUUGAGUAUCUAUUGUGUGCUGUUGGGGGAAGGGGUCUAUAAAGGUAAGUAAAACAUGGUCCUUAUCUUUGGAUGGUCCUUAUUUUGGAACGCCAGGCGUUCAUAAUCCCUCCAAGAGGCACACUUUUUUUUUUUUUUUUGAGAUUCCAGUAUUCAUUGUCUUCUGGAGAGUUUUAGUGUGGGAAAUCUGGAAAUGUAUUAAAAUGAUCCUGGAAUGUUCUUUCCAGGCUUCUAUGGCAACUUUUAUUUUUAUUUUUGAGACAGGGCCUCAUCUUACUCUGUCACCCAGGCUGGAGUCCAGUGGCAUGAUCUUGGCUCACUGCAACCUCCACCUCCUGGGUUCAAGUGAUUCUCUUGUCUCAUCCUACCAACUAGCUGGGACUACAGGCCCGCACACUACCACCCCUGGCUAAUUUUUGUAUUUUUAUUAGAGACAGGGUUUUACCAUGUUGGCCAGGCUGGUCUCGAACUCCUGGUGUCAGGUGAUCUGCCUGCCUCGGCCUAUCAAAGUGCUGGGAUUACAGGUGUGAGCCAUUGCACCUAGCUUAAGGGGCAUACAUUUGUUUGUUUGUUUGCUUGUUUGUUUGUUGGUUUGUUAUUUGAGACAGAGCCUCUCUCUGUUGCUUAGCUUGGAGUGCAGUGACGCGAUCCUGGCUCUCUGCUACCUCUGCCUCCCAGGUUCAAGCAGUUCUCCUGCCUAAGCCAUAGCUGGGACUACAGGCAUGCACCACCACACCCAGUGUAUUUUUUAGCAGAGAUGGGGUUUCACCAUGUUGGCUAGGCUGGUCUUGAACUCCUGGCCUCAAAUGAUCACCCACCUGAGCCUCCUAGUGCUGGGAUUUCAAGCAUGAGCCACCGUACCUGGCCAAGAGGCACACUUUUAAAUAAUGCAUGGCAUAAGCUUAUUUUGAAUGGUCUCAUUGAUGACAAAUCUUUUUUACUUUGAAAUUUUGAUUUUUUAGAAAUGCUCAAGGUCAGUCAGUAUCAAAUAGAGUGAAUAAAGAAUAGUUUUGCCUUAAAUUCAGUUAAUCACAGAAAUGGGAAUAAUUUUCUUGGUUGACUUACUAGCUGAUUUUUAAAACACUGCCAAGGCGGAAGUUGGAAAUAUUUUGAACAGGGGUGAUAACUUCACAUGUAGUUAGUUAGACACUAGAUGGUUGAGUGCAUCCGAUGGUUGGAUGGAUGGAGUGAAUAAAUGAGUAAGUGGUAGCCUUCCAAAGUAACUUAAAGAGGACCAUACUGAUUUGAAUGUGUAAACAAAUUCUUAUUAAAAAAUUCAGUUUUCUCAGAUGAAAUAAAUAAAUUCUGAGUAUAUUUGUUAACAAAUUACCUGGAGCAAGAUAGUUUAAGACCACAGAUGAGUUUUAUAGACAGUAAGUGCUGUAGGAGUUCCGGGAAUGGAGAAAUGAACAUUGGCUAAGGUUUGGUGAAAUUAUUUAAGUGAACCAUACUUUAGCUUGAUAUUUGGAAAGAUUCCUUAGGGAUCUCAGAGAAGAACUAAAUGACUCCAAAUUUCUCUUGCAGCCCUAAAGUGAACCUAGACUCUGGAUCUAUUUUUGUCUGAAUGCUUUCUGCCUGUUUCAUUUUAGCUACUCCUACUGGUUUGUUCCUUUCAAAUUCACAUUUGUUUGGUAGAUGUUGAGCCCCCUGAAACAGCUUUCCAUCAUUGUAGACUAUAACUUUUAGUUGUUCUUUUAUGAGCCUGUACCCCACAAAUUACUUGGCCUUCAUGAGUGAAGAGCGUGAGUCAACUUGGCCCUGUUAUCCUGGCAUUUUCCUGCGUGCUUUUCUCAAAGCUGCUUUCUGAAUUACAGAAUAGAAUAGACAGAACUGAGGGCAUGUGUCCAGUAGGUACAAGCUUGUUGAAUGAAUGAAUGAAUGAAUGAAUGAGAUAUUUGAGAUAAUUUAGGAGAUCUGAAUUAUCUAUAUGUUUUAUGUUUCUUUUCAUUUAUUCAUAACUUGCCUUUUUCUACAAAGGACUUAAUGGGGCUGCCAGAAUAUAUGCACUAGCAAUGAAUUGAAAUAAUUCAAGAAGUCUGGUUAAAAAGAUGGCGAAGAAAAGAAAGAUCUGUUUAAAGAAUGUAGAUCAGUAUGUAUGGAUGUUAGAGAACCAGGAAUAAGGAAGAAGAUAAGCAGAUGGGGAAGGAAAGGUAGUAUCUGAUAGAAAGGAUGAUUUUGAAGAAAGGAAAAGAUUACUGAAAUAUGACAGGCUAUGUUUAGGGGAAAGCAUGAGAAGAUGGAAGGUAAAGAGGAUUAUUUGAAAGGGCUAUUUUGAGGAGGAAAAUGGUAAAGCUAUUUGAAGGAUAAGAGUCAACAGAAGUUUGGAAUAUAGUAGAAGUUAUUAAAUUAUGUUGAUUUAUAACUGAGGGUUUCAGAAAACGAUGGGAUAAGUUUUCUUUGUUUAACAGAUAAUGCACAUUUGUUAUAUGCAAAAGCAUAUAAUGCUUUGCAGUCAGGAAUAAGUCCUCUGGGAUUUGUAUUCUGGUAGGGGAGCUGGAGUUGUGCACAAAUACCUGUACUAUAAUCACCAAUAUAUCUGUGAUUCACAAAUACACCAAAUAUUACUGAAUUUAAAAGGCAAAAAAUGCAUUUGAUUAGGAGAAAACAUGGGGCAGCAUUUUAAUGGCAUAAAAGGGGAAUUUUAGCUAGUCUUUGAAGGGAUUGAUAGGAUUAUUAUUUUUUUUUUUUUUAAGUUUUGGAUUGAUAGGAUUCUGAGUGGCAAAGAUUACUGAAAGAGAGCAUUCCAGCCUGAAAGAUUAGCAUAAGCCAAGGCUUGGAGGUGAGAAGCCCAGAUGUGGGGAAUGGUGAUUUAGAUUUUAAGUUUUAAACUAUGACCUGUAAUAAGAAAUAGAUGUCACACUUCAUCUAAUAUAUGCAUGUGUAAAUGUUUAUGUGUGUGGGAAAAACAAAAAGUUUCAUAAUACUGUGACUAUCCUUACCAUGGUAGAUGCACUUGGAUGUUAUCUAUUUUGUUUGAUUAAAAAGAAAAAAAGCUGGCCAAGGCGAAAGAAAUAAAAGGUUGUCACUCCUUAAACUAAUUUUAUGACUAACAAAAUAAUUGAUCACAAUCAUAGUUUGGAACACAGAAAGUUCAUGAAUAAGGUAUAACAUAAGGUAGGAGAGUCAGUUGGGGUUGAGUUGAAAAUGGCCUUGACAGCUAAGCUAAGUAGUUUGUAUUUGAUAUUAUGUAGUGUUGUGCUUGGUAAGCAAACAGAAGCUGGGUUUUAGUCUUGGCUCUUCUGUUUGCCCACUGUAUGAUUAUGGAGAAUUAUUUCCUUUCUGAGUUUCCAUUUUCUCAUCAAGUUGAUAAUCGUACCUUUCUGGCAAGGGUUGUGGUGAGAAUGUGAGAAUUAAAGAAUAGGAUUAAAGUAUGUUAGCAUACAUUAUUAGUGUAUAUAGCUGUUGAACUUGCCUGAGUAGGGAAUUGAGCCAAGUACUGUAUAUUAGAUAGCUUCAUCUGGCAGUAGCUAUACCUUCUUGGAUAGAUUGUGGGUAAUGUGGUGGUAGAGUAACAUUGUAUGUGAAAAGACCAGUUAGGUGGCUCCUGGAGAAAUUAAAGAGGGCUUGAAUUAGUUUGAUAGCAAUAGGAUUAGAAUAUGGGAGUGGGAUGCAGUUGGAGAUAGGGAAGAGGGGAAGAUGACUGGAAAUGCACUGUUUAUUUAUUUGUUAUUAAUGAAUGAAUGAGUCAAUGACAGGCUGUUGAUCUGUUGCCCAGACUGGAGUGCGGUUGUGUGAACACAGUAGCUCACUGCAGCCUCUACCUCCUGGGCUCAAGUGAUCCUCUUGCCUCAGCCUUCUGAGUAUCUGGAACCACAGGCAUGUGCCACCACGCCUGGCUAAUUUUCAAUUUUUUUUGGAGAGAUGUGAUCUCACCAUGUUGCCUGGGCUGAUCUCAAACUCUUGGGCUCAAGUGAUCCCCUCCCUUGGCUUCCCAGAGUGUUGGGAUUACAGAUGUGCGCAUCCCCACUCCUGGCUGACUGGAAAUUUCGAGUUGUAGAAAUAUUCAAAUGGCAGCAGCUGAAAUUGGAUUAUAUUUUUGGGUAGUUUAGUGGAGUAUGUUAGAGUUUCAGUUUCUUUCAUGUAGUAGGUGCUCAAUUAUUUGUUGAAUGAUAGAAACUAAAUAUGUGAACUGUGAGGUGAAUUGUGAGUAGAGGGAGUGAUGGAUGGAUAUGAGAAGGAGGGUUAGGUUGAAGGAUAUGUUGAUGGACUGCCAGAAUUUAUUCAUUCAGGGUAUAUUUUUAUAUUUACUGUGCACAAGGAUCUAUGGCAGGCAGUGUGAAGGAUACAUGUUGAUAUAUGACACAGUCCAUGUUCUUCAGGAAUUUAUCCAGGGACAAAAUAAACACAUCUGCCCAUGACACCAGUACUAUGGCAAAUUUGAUUAGGAUUGGCUUUGUGGAGAAAUUGGUGUGUAGCUUAGACCUUGAAGGAUAAAUACGAUAAUAGUAGGCAAGAUGGUGAUGGUUGGCUGUUCAAGAAGAAGGGGUGAUAUAAGUGACAGUAAGCAAAGUUCAGGGUAUGUUUAGGGGUUGGCUAUAAUUUAGGGUUUGUGUUGAGGAAUGUCGGGAAAUAAAGCUGAAAAGUAGGCAGACUAUCUCAAAAUUCAGGCUAACCUGGUUUUUGAAAAUUUAUUAAGAUAUAUACAGUAAAGUGCCCCAAUCUUAAGGUACAGAUUAAUGAGUUUUUCUUAGGUAUAAAUAUAUGUAGCCACCACCCAGUUCAAUAUACAGGACAUUUCCAGGAUCCAGAAGGCUGCCUUGCAUGUCAUUUCCAAGCUGAUAACUCAUCCAACCAAAAAUAACUAUUAUUCUGACUUCCCUCAUAACAGAGUAGCGUUGUGUGUUUUUGAAUUUUGUGUAAGUGGAACCCUAUUUCUUGUCUAGUUUCUUUUCUCAAGGAGCCUGUCUGUGAGUUUUAUCCAUGUUGUGUUUUUCAUUGUGUGGUAUUCCAUCAUAUGAAUAUACCCCAGUGUAUUUAUCUAUUCCAUGAUUGUUGGUCAGUUGGAUGGUUUCAAUUUUUUUUGAAGUCUGAGGAGUUUUUUUUUUUUUUUGAGGCAGAGUCUCACUCUGUCACCCAGGCUGGAGUGAUAUGAUGUCUGCUCACUACAAUCUCCACCUUCUGGGUUCAAGCAAUUUUCCUGCCUCAGCCUCCUGAGUAGCCAUGGUUACAAGCACGCAACACCACACCCAGCUAAUUUUUGUGUUUUUAGUAGAGUUAGGGGUUUGCCAUCUUGGCCAGGCUGGUCUUGAACUCCUCACCUCAAGUGAUCCACCCACAUUGAUCUCCCAGAUUGCUGGGAUUAUAGGCGUGAGUCAUCGUACCUGGCUGAAGUCUGAGGAGUUUUAACAUAAAGUCAGUAUGCAGUGGAGAACCAUUGUUGAUUUUUGAAUUGGUAAAUAAGAGACUAUUUAAGAAUAUUAAUCCAGUUACCUUUUUUUGUAAUGAAGAGAAUCUGGUGACUGAGAGACAAAGUUAGGAAGACUAUGGCAAAAGUGUGAAGUAGGCUGGACAUGGUGGCUCACACCUGUAAUCUCAGCAUUUUGGGAGGCCGAGGUGGGCAGAUUGCUUGAGCUUAGGAAUUUGAGACCAGCCUGGGCAACAUGGCAAAACUUCAUCUCUACAAAAGAUAAAACAGUUAGCCAGGUGUGGUGGCACAUGCCUGUAGUUCCAGCCACAUGGGAGGCUGAGGCAGGAGAAUUGCUUGAACCCAGGAGGCAGAGGUUGCAGUGAGCCGAAAUCUGCACUCCAGCAUGGGUGACAGAGGGAGAUCCUGUCUCCAAAAAAAAGUGAAGUAUUGAGGGUAUAAGUUGGGUAGUGGUAGUGGGAAUAAAAGGAAAGGGAUAGAUAUAAGAAAUACCUCAAAGAAAGAAUUGGAAGGUUUGAUGGCAUACAGGGUUUUCGGAAACAGUAGAGAAAAAAAAAAAAACUGAAGAAAAGCUCCAGGGCUUUUAAUCUGGUUGACUGAGAUUGAUGGUGCCAUUAACAGAAAUGAUUAGAUCACUUAGCAGAACUGUUUCGGGGUUUUAAGACACACUGACCUGUGUGUGAGGCACCAGUGCUGGAUUGGAGCUAAGAAAAGAAGUCCAAUAUAGAGUUAGGAGUACAUACAUAGAGUUGAUAAUUGCAGCUACUAAUUCUGGAUUUAGUUAGGGCACUGAUGGUUAUGAAAUUAUUUGGAGUGAUAAUUGAAGUGUUACUUGAAGUAAUAGUUGAAUCUAGUUAAAAAGAAAUCAUUAUAUAUUUCAAUUCUAGUUAAAAAGAAAUUAUUAUAUAUUCUAAUUCCUUAGGAGUAAAUUGGAUUGUAGGAGAUGAUGAUGGUUUAAAGAUUAUUUUGUGGAGCUGGGGGAAGACAGAGCCAUAUGAAGAACGAAAAUGUUGAAGUAGUGGUGAGGGAUGAAACCCUUAGUGGCUGAGAAUUAUAGGAGGCUCCAGGUCAGAACUUGGGUAGGAAUUUGGGUAGGAAGAGGAGCAGCAGUGAUUUCAGAUAGAAGAAACAACCAGAGAAGUCACAGUAGAAUCAUGUGCUACAGUGUCAUUAAGCAAGGUGGGUAGCUCAAUGUCACUGCCAAAAAGAGGGUAAGGACUGGUCAGGGGUGGUGACUCAUACCUGUUAGGUCAGCACUUGGGAGGCUGAGGUGGGCAUAUUACUUAAUCUCAGGAGUUUGAGACCAUCCUGGGCAACAUGUUGAAACCUCAUCUCUACAAAAAAUAAUAAACUUUGCUGGGUAUGGUGGCAUGUGCCUGUAGUCCCAGCUACUUGAGGGGGCUGAGGUCAGAGGAUCACUUGAGCUUGGGAGGUGGAAGUUGCAGUGAGCUGAUACCGUGCCACUGCACUCCAGCCUGGGUUACAGAGCCUGUCUCAAAAAAAAAAAAAAAAAGAGGGUAAAGACUUCGGUGGGGGAUCAUAGAUUUUUUAAAUUUAUCUUAUAUUUUUUGUGGUCCUCAAGAGAGCAGUUCAGAGACCAGAGUGCAUGGGGAUUUACUGAGUGGGUUGGAAGAAUUUGGAAGCAAUAAAUGUAGGAACUGAAUUAAGUUUAGUUUGAGAAGGAAGAACAACAACUCUUAUUCUCAAACUGGAGACCAGAAGUAACAGAUGGAAGAAGAUACAGCAUUUUAGAAGCUGUGAAGAGGAUUUGAUUACAGGUGGAGAAGGUGUGAUUUGAGGGAAUUUUAUAGAAGGGUUUGAGUAUUUGAUGGGAUUAGGGAUUUAAUAUGAAAAUGAUUUGUAUUAGUCAAUGAGGCGGAGAGUUGUAUUUAGAAUAAAUCUGUUGUGGAAGAUUUCAUAGCUUUCUGGUGGUGCUUAACACCCAGUGUGUGGGUGUGGAGAAAACAGAUGGUGAAGAUUGUCUAUCACUGGGGAGAUGCAUAGUGAGAAUGAUGGAAGGUCAUGGAAUUCUGGAGAGGACAGUGUUAAAAUGGUUGAUGGACAGGUUUAAAUUAUGUAGGGAGACAAUAAAGCCGAGUGGAGUUAAAGUACAGGUCUACAACUAGAAUAUAAGUGGUUGUGGGUAAAGAAAAGGGAGGCGGUCUCUGAAGUUACAAUCCUAGUGGUACAGUACUUUUUUUUUUUUUUUUUUUGAGACAUAGUCUGGCUCUGUUGCCCAGGCUGGAGUACAGUGGCACAAUCUCGGCUCACUGCAGCCUCUACCUCCAGGUUUCAAGUGAUUCUCCUGCCUCAACCUCCUGAGUAGCUGGGAUUACAAGCAUGAGCCACUGCACCUCUCUAAUUUUUUAUAUUUUUAAUGAAGACAGGGUUUCACAAUGUUGGCCAGGCUGGUGUUGAACUCCUGACCUCAAGUGAUUGACCUGCUUUGGCCUCCUAAAGUGUUAGGAUUAUAGACGUGAGCCACUGAAGUUGGCCUAGCACUUUUCAGUUAAUUGAUGGCUCUGUUUUCAGUUUCUUUGUGGCUAUCUUAAGUGCAGAUGAAGGUUUUAGGAGCUUAUGAACGUCAUGGUAUAGAAAGUUCUUCAGCAUCAUUGUUGAAGUCAUUGAGAAUAAUGGUUGAAUUUGGGACCAAGUAGAAUUGGAGUCAUCGGGUAGGGAAAAUAGGAGGUUCUUCUGGAGGUUGGUGGAGAUUGGUAGAUGUUGCAGAAGGAGUGGUUUCAGUGAGUAAUGGGACUCCCAAGCUAUUUUUUAGUGAUAGGAUAAUGGGGAGUGGUCCUGGGAAGCAAGAAGCAGCAAGUCCUUUUUUAUCAAGCAGAAGGAGUAGGACAGUGAUAUAGCGAGUCAUGAGAGAAGCAGAUUGUCCAGGAAAAACCAGGCUUGAGGUAAGACAAGGAGGCAGAUGGUCACAAUAAUUGGGCAAGAGUUGACAGUGAUUGGAAUUGUUGAGCCACGGGGAUUGAGAACAGUAGCUAGAUUUGUUACAUUUACCAGUUCUUUCCAUUUUUUUUUUCUUUUUGAGACAGGGUCUUCUCUCUUACCCAGGCUGGAGUGCAGUGGUCCAAUCUUGGCUCACUGCAGCCUUGCGUCUUGGACUCAAGCGAUUCUCUUGUCUUAGCCUCCUGAGUAGUUGGGAUUACAGAUGUGCACCACCAUACCCUGCUUGGCUCCCCUCCCUCUCCUUCCCUCCCCUUCCCUUUCUUCCCCUCUCCUCCCUUCCCCUUCCUUCCUCUCUUUUUCUUCUUUUCUUUUCCCUCUCUUCCCUUCUCUCCUCUCUUCUCUCCUGUCUCCUCUCUCCUCUCUCCUCUCUUCUCUCUUUUCUCUUGUCUUCUUUCAGAUUUGGUCUUCCUGUGUUGCCCAGGCUGGUCUUGAACUCUGGGUCUGAAGUGAUCUUCCCUCCUUGGCCUCCCAACAGUUCGUUUAUAAAAUAAAUGAUACUUGCAAAAUUAUAACUAUUCAUGUAUAAUAUACUGAUAUAAAUUUAGCUGAGCGAUAAUUGUGGGUUAGAAAUGAGACAUUGGAAACAAAAGAUGAGGUAGAGGUGUACUAAAGAUAAGGUGAGCUGGGUGUGGUGGCUCAUAUCUAUAAUCCCAGCAAUUUGGGAGGCAGAGGCAGGAGGAUCACUUGAGCUCAGGAGUUGAAGAACAGCCUGGACAACAUAAGGAAACCCUGUCUCUACACAGAAAUAAAAAAUUAGCUGGGCAUCAUAGUGCACACCUAUAGUCCCAGUGACUCAGGAGGCUGAAGUGGGAGAAUCACUUGAGCCAUGGAAGUCAAGGCUGCAGUGAGCCAUGAUUGCACCACUGCACUGAGCCUGGGCAACAGAGUAAGACCCUGUCUUAAAAAAAUAAAAAGAUGAAGGUAAAAGAUAAAAGUCGUUCUGUUGUUUGUUGACAAUAGAACAUGGACAAGCUGAUAGGAUCUAGUAAAUAGAUGGACUGGAAAUGAAUGAGGAGGCUGAAGUUGUAGGCAUAGAAAAGAGGAGGGAGUAGCUUGCAGCAGAGAAAACAUGGAGAGAACAUAUGGAAAGGGAUUUAACCAGGCCAUGGUUUGUAGGGGUGAGGAUAUUGGCAAGCAUCACUAAGUGCAAUAUUUUUAUUAAAGAAACUGGGAAGUCGGGAGCCCCCAUAUUCCCUGGGUUUUUGCAGUCCAGGCCUGAUUGGGCCAGCUGUGUGGGCAGGGCUGUGCUGGUGCUGCACUGGGCAACUGGUGGAGCAGCAGCCUGGAGCUGCGUGGUGGUGGAUGUGCUGCCGCCUGUCUGGGUCUGUGCGCUCUUGGCCAGUGGUGGGGCGGGAGGGUGGGCGCUCCCUGAAGUGAGCUGGAAAUAACUGAUGUCAGGAGCCUAUUUCUUCUCUCUGUAAAUAAGAACAGUUUAUGCCACCCAUAAUAAAAGGUGGCAGUAUGUCAUGCCAGCUUUUAAAAAAAUAUUGUCAAUGAUAGAGACAUUGAGAUGUCUCUGUGUCCUUCAAAACCAUAUCACAUUUUCUGUUUGCAAAAACUGGGAAGAACUUGCAUAGGUAAAGAGGUUUAGGUAAAAAGUGGAAAGAAUGGGGUACAUGUUAAGAAUGAGAUGUCCUAACGGAACUAAAAAGGAUUCUUUACUUUCUUUUUUGUCUGUAAUGACUUUAAUAAUGCCGAAGUGCUGGAAUUAUAGACAUGAGCCACUGCGCAGGGCCCUUAUCAGAGAGAGAGCAUAUUUAAUGUAGAUGCAUGAAAUGGCAGUGAGAAAAAUAUGACAAGGCAUAAAAUAUGUAGUAUUGGUGUUCCAUCCUAGUGUAGCUUUGUUUCAGGAUUAGUUCCAGCAUGUAGCCCUGGGCUUUCAUCACUUUCUUCCUGCCUUUACUGCUACAUCUAUUUAGCCAUCAAAUUUAAUAAUGAAAGAUCUCUGGAGACUCAGAGUGUUGAAGGCCUAAGAGGGCCCACGGUUCUCACUUUGCUCAACUCACAAAACUUAGCCAUACCAUCAUGUAACAGCCCUGCCUGAUUCAGUCUAGAAUUGUUUUUAGGACAUGCCUCAGACUGGACCUUGUCAAGGGGGAGCAUAUUCUGAAUAUUUGGGUGGAUAUUAUGUGGGGUAGGCUAAUGAUGAAUAUCUUAAAGAUGGUGAUGGGGGGAUUAUAGUAGACAUGGAGAGAGGUGUGUUUUAAAUGGUAACUGAAUUAAUUUGGCAUAGGUAAAUGACUUCACAAUAUAGGGGUUUGACCUUUGAACAUCUAGGAUGGCAUGGAGAAGUUUUCCUUGUAAAUUUAAGAAGAGCCAAUAUCCAAGAGAGUAGAAUGAAAUGCACACUUGGGGUUCUGCAGGCUGCUUUAUAUGUGUGCUUAUGUACACACCUGUAUGUGUAGAUACAUAUUAGAGAGAAUUUGUCCAUUUGAUUAGGUUAUAUAGUUAGUCUUUAGGGAAGUGGGACUAAUAGUCCAACUAGUUUUGAGUUAUGGAUGAUUUAAGAGAAUUGUUACAGAAUAUUUGGAAAGAUCAUUUUCAAGGUUUUAAGGACAGGCCUAGGAAAUAGAUUUUUCUGUAACUGUGAGGGCUUCUGGAAUAGAUAUACAAGCUUUGAUGGCAUUUUAGGGCAAAGUUGUGUAAGUUGGAGAGUGUUAGCUUUGAGGAAAUUGGAACAUACAAGAAAAAUGUAGUGUUUGAGAAAGUUACUUAUGAAUUGAUUUGGUAGGAGCUGAUAAAAAUUAUAAAAGUUGCGGAGAGAUUUUGAAUAACUAGGUGGGAGAUAUGGAAGUGAUUUGUGAAGUUUCUUUUUUUUCUUUUUGAGAUGGCCUCUUGCUCUGCUGCCCAGGCUGGAGUGCAGUGGUGCAAUCAUGCCUCUCUGCAGCCUCCAUCUGCCAGGUUCAAGCAAUUCUCCUGCCUCAGCCUUCUGAGUAGCUGGGAUUACAGGUGCCCACCACCAUAUCUGGCUAAUUUUUUGUAUUUUUAGUAGAGAUGGGGUUUCACCAUGUUGGAUAGCCUGGUCUUGAACUCCUGACCUCAAGUGAUCCACCCGCCUCAGCCUCCCAAAGUGCUGGGAUUACAGGCGUGAGUCACCAUGCCUGUCUGAUUCAUGAAGCUUGUUACUUACAAGUAUUAGAAAAGUAAAAUUCAAAAGUAAAAUGGAAAGAUACUUUAGAGAAGACUUCUUUUGGGAACAGUACAAAACAGCAAGGCAAGGAAAAACUAAAAUCAGUAAAUUGGGGUGUGGAAAAAUUAGAAUAAGAGGGAGGAUUAAAGCAGAGGCUACUGAAAGAUUUCUUACUGUCAGGCUGUGUGAUAAUGCAAAGCUGUGUUCUGUGGUGUUUUGUUGGAUACCAUUGAUAGGUUCAUUAAGAAAAGGGGUUUAAACAGGCCCUGGUUUGUAGGGAUGAGGAUUGUGACAAGCAUCAUUAAGUGUAAUAUUUUUAUUAAAGAAACUGGGAAGUAGUGAGCCCUCAUAUUCCCUGGGCUUUUGCAGCCCAGGCCCAAAUGGGCCAGCUACGCGGGCGGUACUGUCCUGGCGCUGUGCUGGGUGGCUGCGGAGCAGCGGCGUGGAGCUGCGUGUUGGCAGGUGGGCUGCCGCCUGCCUGGGUCCCUGCGCUCUUGACUUGUUGGGGUUGUGGGUGUGCGCUCCCUUAAGUGAGCAGGCCUUGGGGCGGGAAGGACGAGCUUUUGCCAAUCUGUCUGGAGAACCCCCGCACGCGGUCCCCAUGGCUUCCUUUUGGUUGUGUGUGUCGACGCGUGAGUGUGCCGUUUGCAGGGACCAGCACCUUACGUGACUUCCUUUUGUGUGUACGUGCGUGCGUGCGCCCCUCUGCAGGGAGGAGGCGGAGGGGCGCGGAGAAGCUGGCGCGUUUUGGGCCUUGGUGGAGUCGUCUGCCGCGUCUGGACCUUCUGGGUCUGCCCGGCUGGUGCAGUCAGGGCUCAUUCCCUCAGCGGGAAGGGAAACUUUGUGAGCGGCUUCUCUGCAGCCACUAACAAGUGUCCACCAGAUAGCGGGGCGCGGGGGGAGCGGGGAGCCGCCCAAGGCUGAUAAUGAAUGGACACCCCGGUUUUCCACUUAUUCUUGUUUUACAAAUUUUCUGUUGAACUGCAUUGUGUUUACAGUUUGAUGUCUGCGAAAAGGUCAACAGGUAACUUGGUUUACUAGACAGCUUUUUACUGGGUAUUAAGAGCAAAUAAUGUACACCUGUAUCCUUAUAUUAGCAAACCCUUCAUAUUCAGUCGUAAGAAUAAUCCUAAGGCUUUUCCAGAGUUGGGAUCUGGGGCAAACUUUUGCUCUCCAGACUUUGUGAAGCACCUUUUACCAUGCCAGGAAAGAACUGCUUGUGCAGUAGACUGAAAGCUAGAGUUGCACAUGCAAAAGUUGAAGCUCUUUGCAAUAGCUUGAAUUUAAAACAGCUUUUUGUUUUACAUAAUAAUUGUGAUUAGUUUACAUACAGAAUUUUGCAAAAUUAAGCAUGGUGUGAUUAAAAAAGCGUUUCUUAAUUUUAUAGAGGGCAGUGUUAAAGGCACCAUUCAAUUUGGAAGUUUCAAGUAUGUUAAAUGUUGCUAUAAAUAAAAUCCUAUUCAGAUUUUUAGAUUUAACAAAUCUAAAAAUAUGUUUGCAGUUGUCCUUUGGGUACAGGAGGAAGUCCUGGGUUUCUCUGUACUUGUUUCUGGGCAGAUUUUGAGUAUUGUCAGCAUGAUAUGGGUAUAGAACCUUAAUCUGAGCGAAUAAUUUGCUUGAGAUUACCAGUCUGUUUUGGAGCUGGGAAUAGACUCUGGGUCUCUUUAUGUUCAGUCUGGUGACCAAUCCAAGAAUAGACUAAGGAAACUGGGUAUUUGUUUGGUGGAAAAUAUGGCUGAGCCAAAAAGUGAACGUGUGAAAGUUAACUUUUCUGAUGUAACAUUUAAAUGUAAUUUAUCCACACUGGAUUCCUUUGGCCUUUCUUUAAAAACAGAGGACUUGAGGAUAUUCCACAGUGUUACUUCUAGUGGGAUUCGUACCACAUUUACAUUUGAUUAAAACGGAUAGAUGCUUAUGGUAUUUAACUGGGGGUAGAUGUGUUUUUCAUGUGAAUAUUCUCAGCGGUUAGAAUAGGUAGUAACUUGGGCACUUUUAGCCUCCUUGAAAUGCUAGGGAGAAGAGGAAUUAAGUUAAUGUCAUUAAUCUGUGUUAACCUUUGGACCUCUUUAUUGAGAAUUCUUAAGGCAUGAAUGGAAUACCUAUGGAUUUCCCCAUAGUUUAUAUACUUUUAUUCUCAUUGUUACUACAUUGACCACACACAACAAUAUUUAAUUCAUGUUUUUCAGUAGGCCUCAUACAAGAGGGUACCUUUUUAUAGUAUAUGAGCUGCGGUUGGCUCUUUUUAAAAAAAAAAAAAGGAGACUGGGGUCUCACUAUGUUUACCAGGCUGGUCUCAAACUCUUGACCUCAAGCUGUCUUCCUGCCUCAGCCUCCUAAAGUGCUGGGAUUACAAGUGUGAGCCACUGUGCCCAGCCCUACCUUUUGUUUUGCUGAUAAACAUUCCUGUCCUUUCUUAUGCCAUUCCUCCUAUAUUGUAAAACAAAAACAGCCGUUUUCCUUUUUCCCUUCUCCAAAAACCCCUGGAUAUUUUAAAUCGAAUAUAGUAGUUUUCAAACCAGAGGUGAUUUUGUCAAAUGUCUGGAGACAUUUUUGGUCAGCAUGCUGGGGGGGUUCUACUAGCAUCUACUGGAUAGAUAAACCUCCUACAAUGCAUAUGACAGUCUCCAUGACAAAGAAAUUAUCCUGUGCAAAAUAUCAGUAGUGCUGAUGUUGACAAAACGCUGAUCUGAUUUAUUGAGAAUAACAUUCUCCCAAGUGAUUUAAACCUAUUAAAGUUAUUCAUCAUGUAAUUGAUACUUCUAUAUCUGUAAAUUAUAAAUCUUUUUCCAAUGUUGUCAUUGGAAUGAUCAUGAGUCAAAGGUUAUGAAGUAUGUAUUAGAACAUUAGAAUACAGGCUUGUGGAGCUGGAAGACUUAACAGGUAUAAGUCCUUCAGUAUGUAGAUGAAGAAACUGAGUUUUGGAGAGAUGGUGACUUACCAAGGCCGGACAGAUAAUGCAGAGCUCAGGUCUCUUGUUACUUCUACUUCUUAGUUUAAAUCAUUACUGAAGGAAAGGGUGUGGUAUCACUUUUGCUUGAUAUAGUUAAAUUUAAUCAAAUUAAAAUUUUAAAUAAUUGUAUUGUAAGAAAUACUCUUUCAGUGAAUUUCUGUUACUUUUUCAGAUUCACAGAUACUUUUGAAUUCUUCAGCAUGGUAUUGUUACCACUGUAAACUUUUCAGUGGCUGCUUUUAAAAUGUCUGAAAAAUUUAAAAAGACCACAUACACAUUUUAAAACAAAACAUUUAACGUUAGUUAUGAUAGCUUAGGUAAAAUUUUGAAUGGAAACUCAACCAGAAUUAUUGAAACAUUUUAGGGUAUCCUGAACUUAACAUAUAUAUUUGUUCUGUUGUGUGAGGAUCACUAAAGUAGUGAGUUAUUGUGCUGAUUGUAAAUCUGUUAUAGCAAGGCCCCUUAGUUAAUUUUAGAAAAAGAUACUGGAACUUUCAGGUGACAUGUAAUUGGGGAAAUAUCAAUUGGAUAUUUAGAUGAAAUAUUUUUCAGAUUACUUAAGCAGUGUAUUGUCAGAAGAAGUAUCAACAGGGUUCUUUUUAAAAUUAAUUUUUUUAAAAACUGGGCAACACUUAAUUAUAUAAAAUAUCAUGUGUUCCCUCAAUGGGGUUCUUUCAUAUUUAAUUUUUUUUCCUAAAAACCAAAAAGAAAAAAAGGCGAACUGAGUUUUUCAGGGUCUGAAUGUCUUGAGUGUGAUUUGUGUGGCCGCAGGAGCAUGGACAUCUCCAAAAAGACAAUUAUGAGCAAAGAUUUCCUUAAAAAUUUAUGUAAGAAAUUUAAAUUAAAAAAUUUUUUUUAAUUUAGAUUUUAUAUAAGAAAUUUAUUUUGUAGAAAAAAAUGUGUAUUAGCAUAAAGGAAAAAGUAAGAGAAACUGCUUUUAAUAUUUGGUAUAUGGCUUUCUUAUAUUUUUGUUAACCUUUAAUUAUGGAAAAAUUUAAAUAAUGAAAAAUAGAAUAAUAUUAUGAACUCUCAUAUAGCAAUUAAUGGCUAAUCUUAUGUCAUCCGUACCUCCACCUUACACCUCUCUCCUCUCUCUUUUUUAGUUUUUAUAGAGAGAUGGGCUCUUGCUCUGUUGCCCAGGCUGAUCUCAAAUUCCUAGGCUCACAUGGUCUUCUCACCUUGGCCUCCCAAAAUGUUGGGAUUACAAGCAUGCGCCACUAAACUUGGCCUCACAUAUUAAUUUUUUUUAAAACUUAUUCUGGGCCUUGCACAGUGGCUCACGCCUGUAAUCAUUACACUUUGAGAGACCAGGGUGGGUGAAUCUCUUGAACUCAGGAGUUCAAGAACAUCCUGGGAAACAUGGCCAAACUCUGUCUCUACUAUGAAGAAAAGGAAAAAACCUUUAUUUUGAAAAAAUUAUAGACUCACUGGAAGUGGCAAAAUUAGUACAGAAUCCUAUGUACCCUUCACCCAGUCAUCUUAGUAAAGUUCUAGUAAGACAUCAAAACUAGGAAGUUGACGUUAGUAUAUUACUGUUAACUACACUACUGAAUUUACAUCAUUUUCACUAUUUUUUAAACCUGUGCUUAUUUUUGUGUAUGUAUAGUUCUAGUAAUUUUAUCCCGUAUGUAAAUUGAUGUAACUACCAGGAUGACCAAGAUACACAGUGCUAUCCCUUUAUAUUCUCACCCAUUCCAACACUUCUCCUUGUACCCUGGCAAACUGUUUACUAGCUAUAGUUUUGUUCUUUCCAGAAUGACAUACUUUAUUUAUGUAUGUAUAGUUUGUAUACAUACUUUGUUUAGCCAUUCACUUGUUGAAGAACUUUUCGUAUGUUGCAGUAUUUUGUUGUUAUGAAUAAAGAGGUUAUGGAGAUUUGUGUACAGGGCUUAUUAAAAACAAAAGUUUUCAUUUAUCUGAGAUAAAUGCCCAAGAGUAGGGGUUUUAUGGCAAGUACAUGUUGAGUUAUUUAAGAAACUCCAAACUGUUCAAAACUCAGCUGAACAUAGUUGUGUUGGUCUGUUUUGGGGUUUUCUAUUCUCUUCCAUUGAUAUGUGUGUCUCUCUUCCCUCUUGUACCACACUGUCUUGAUUAUUAUAGCUUUACGGUAAGUCUUACCAAGUAGAGUGCCUCCUCUCACUUCAUUCUUCUGUCAAGAUUGUUUUAGCUCUUCUGUUUUUUUUUUUUGCCUUGCCACACAAUUUUAGAAUAAUUACAUCUGUAUCUACAAAAAAAAAAAUCUUGCUGGGAGUUUGAUACGAAUUGAAUAAAACUAUAGUUCAAUUAGAGAAGCUUUUUUUUUUUUUUUGUUAUAUAGAGGCCUUCAAGCCAUGACCACAGGAUAUUUCUCCAUUUACUUAGAUCUUCCAUAUUAUUUUGAAGCAAAUUCCAGCCAUCAUAUAGUUUUUCUUAAAUGGCAUUAUUGAGGUAUAACUUAUAUACCAUACAAUUUACCCACUUAAACUGUACAGUUCAGUUAUUUUCAGUAUAUUUACAGAGUUGUACAGCCAUCACCAUAAUCAGUUUUAGAACAUUUUCAUCAUUUUAUCUAGAAACUACCCAUUAGCAGUGAAUUUCCUUUCCCUCUUUCUCCCAGUCCCUGGCAACUACUAGUCUACUUUCAGUCUCUAGGACUUUCCCUAUUCUGGACAUUUCGUGUGAAUGGAAUAAUAAUGUAGAUUGACUUUAUGUCUGGCUUCUUUAACUUAGUGUAAUGUUACAUGAUGUAGCAUGUGUCAGCAGUUCAUUCCUUUUUAUUGCUGAAUAGUAAUCUAUUAUAUGGACUUACCACAUUUUUUUGUAUCCAUUCAUCAGUUGUUGGGUUUCCACUUUUUUUUUUUUUUUGGCCAUUAUGAAUAAGGCUGCUGGGAACAUCCAUGUGCAAGGAUUUUUUUUCUUUUCUUUUUUUUUCCUGAGAGAGAGGUUCACUCUUAUUGCCCAGGCUGGAGUGCAACGGCAUGAUCUCGGCUCACUGCAACCUCUGCCUCCUGGCUUCAAGUGAUUCUCCUGCCUCAGCCUCCUGAGUAGCUGGGAUUACAGGCACCCAUUACCGUGCUCAGCUAAUUUUUUGUGUUUUUGGUAGAGACAGGGUUUCAUCAUGUUGGCCAGGCUGGUCUUGAAUUCUUGACCUCAGGUAAUUCACCCACCUCGGCCUCCGAAAGUGCUGGGAUUACAGACAUGAGCCACCAUGCUUGGCCCAUGUGCAAGUUUUUAUGUGGACAUUUGUUUUCAUUUCUUUUGUGUAUACGUGUAUGUGUCUAGGAGUGAAAAAUUGCUGAGUCAUACGGUACCUCUAUGUUUAGCCAUUUGAGGAACUUCCAGACUACGUUCCAAAGAAGCUUUACCAGUUUACAUUUCUUCUUCUUCUUUUUUUUUUAUUUUAGCUAGAGCUCCAAAUCUGGGCUAUCUCUUUUUUUUUCUAGAAAGAAAAAAAAAGGAGGGAAGAAAGAGGAAGAAAAAGAGGGAGAGAGAACGGGAAUGUUGCUUUAUUCUAAAAAUGGGUAUUAAUAAUGGCUGAUCAAUAUUUUGUGUGUUUAGGGUGGAGAAUGUAUAUUUUGUGUAUUUAAACUGGAGAGCUCUAUAAAUAUUUAUUGAGUUUACUUGUUCCGGAUCUGAGUUCAAGUCCUGGAUAUCCUUAUUAAUUUUCUGUCUUGUUGAGUCUAAAUCUCUUUAUGGGUCUUAUGUAUCUGGGUGUUAGGAUCGUUAGCUCUUAUUGUUGCAUUGAUCCUUUUAGCACUGUAUCUUUGUUGCUUUGAAAUCUAUUUUAUUAGAUGCGAGAAUUGCAACUUCUGCUUUUUAUUUAUUUAUUUUUGCUCUCCAUUUGGUUGGUAAAUCUUUCUCCAUCCCUUUGUUUUAAGUCUUUGUGUAUCUUUGGAUGUGAAAUGGGUCUGGAUGUAGCAUACCAUUAGGUUUUGGCUGUAUCUUUUGAUUGGGGGAUUUAGUCAACUUAAAUUCAGGUUACUGCCAUUUGAUGUUAACUGGCUAUUUUAUCCAUUCGUUGAUGUAAAUUCUUUAUGUUGAUGCUCUUUACUUUUUGGUAUAUUUUUAGAAAGGCUAAUACUGGUUGUUCCUUUCUAUGUGUAAUGCCUCUUUCAGAAGCUCUUGUAAAGCGGGGCUGGUGGUAAUAAAAUCUCUGAGUACUUGCUUGUUCAUAAAAGAUUUUAUUUUUCCUUCAAUUGUGAAGCUUAGUUUGGCUGGAUAUAAAAUUCUGGGCUGAAAGUUCUGUUCUUUAAGAAUGUUGAAUAUUGGCCCCCACUCUAUUCUGGCUUGUAGGGUUUCUGCUGAGAGAUCUGCUGUAAGUCUAAUAGGCUUCCCUUUGUGGGUAACCUGACCUUUCUCUCUGGCUGCCCUUAGUAUUUUCUCCUUCGUUUCAACCCUGGUGAAUCUAACGAUUAUGUGCCUUGGGAUUGCUCUUCUUGAGGAAUAUCUUUGUGGUGUUCUCUUUAUUACCUCAGGUUGAAAUAUUGUCCUGCUUUGCUAGGUUGGGAAAGUUUUCCUGAAUAAUAUCCUGAAGAGUAUUUUCCAGCUUGGAUUCAUUCUCUCAGUCACAUUCAGGUACACCUAUCAAACAUAAAUUAGGUCUUUUCACAUAGUCCCAUAUUUCUUGGAGACUUUGCUCAUUCCUUUUUAUCCUUUUUUCUCUAUUCUUGUCUUCUUGUUUUAUUUCAUUAAGUAGGUCUUCGACCUCUGAUAUCCUUUCUUCUGCUUGAUCAAUUCAGCUAUUCAAACUUGUGCAUAUUUCGCUAAGUUCUCGUGUUGUGUUUUUCAACUCCGUUAGUUCAUUUAUAUUCCUCUCUAUAUUGUCUAUUCUUGUUAGCAUUUUGUCAAACCUUUUUUCAAAGUUCUUAGUUUCUUUACAUUGGGUUAGAACAAGUUCUUUUAACUCCCAGAAGUUUAUUAUCAUCCACCUUCUGAAACCUACUUCUGUUAGUGGAACACAGUCCUUUUCCAUCAGGGUUUGUUCCAUUGCUGAUGAGGAACAAUAAUCCCCUGCGGAGGGAGAGGGGUUCCGAUUUUGGGUAUUCUCAGCCUUUUUAGGCUGGUUUAUUCCCUUUGUUAUAAAUUUAUCCAUCUGUCGUCUUUAUGAUUACCACCUUUCUAGUUGGGUUUCUGAGUGGAUGUCCAGCGCUGGAAUCCGAGCAACCCACUGCGCUGGCCAAAACGGCAAUGGUAAGACUGAUGGUGCUCUUCUGCCCGGGAAUCUCCUCCCAUUUACUCUGCACGAAGAGCUGCUGCGCUGAGGCGCCGGCAAAACUGCUGCGCCAGCCACAAGAGUCGCGCUGGUGACCCGUGGGGCUCCUCCACUGGGAAUCUUCCGGUCCGUGAGCGACGAAAAUUCGUCUGAAAAUGUGGCGUCCUCUCGUUCUCUGUGCUUUCACUGGGAGCUACAAUCCUGAGCUGUUAGCGAUCAGCCAUCUUGGAUCAAUCCACCAGUUUACAUUUCUAUCAGCAUUAUAUGAAGAUUCCAGUUUCUCCAUGUCUUCAAUAACAGUUCAUACUGUCUUUUUGAUUGUAGCUAUGCUGGUGGGUGUGAAGCAGUAUUUCAUGGUUUAAUUUGCAUGUCUGUUGGCUAAUGAUGUUGAGCAUCAUUUCAUCUGCUUAUUGGCCAUUUAUAUAUAUUUUUUGGAGAAAUGUCUUCAGAUCUUUUGCCUGAUUUUUAGUUGAGUUGUCUUUUUAUUGUUGGGUUUUAAGGGUUUUUAAUAUGUUCUGAAUAUUAGACUUUUAUCAGUUAGAUGAUUUGCAAAUAUUUUCUCCAAUACUGUGGGUUGUUGUCACUUUCUUGAUAGUGUCUUUUGAAGCAUAACAGUUAAAAUUUUUUUAUUGUAAUAAAAAAUACAUAAUAUGAGAUCUACCCUUUCAACAAAUUUCUAAGUGUACAGUAUAGUAUUGUUAACCGUAAGUACAAUGUUGUACAGAUCUCUGGAAUGUUUUCAUUUCAGAUAGCUUAAACAAUACCCAUUAAAUAGCAAUUGCUUUUUUUUUUUUUUUUUUUUUUUUUAAAGACAAGGUCUUGCUUUGUGGCCCAGGCUGGAGUACAGCAGCACAGUGAUGGCCCACUGCGGUCUUGACCUCCUGGGCUUAAAUGAGCCUCUCACCUCAGCUUUUUGAGUAGCUAGGACUAUGGGCACCUGCCACCAUUCCUGGCUAAUUUUAAAAUUUUGUAUUAUUUUUGUAGAGACUGGGUCUCAUUCUGUUGCCUAGGCUAGAGUGCAGUGUUGUGAUCACAGCUCACUACAGUCUUGACCUCUUGGCCUCAAGCAAUCCUCCCACCUUGGCCUUGCAAAGUGCUGGGAUUACAGGUGUGGGCCACCGCACCCAGCCUCAACUCCUCAUUUCUACCUCUUCUCAUCCCCUGGCAACCAUUGUUUUACUUUCUGCUUCUAUGAGAUUGACUGCUUUAUCUUAAAUCCCUCAUAAAAGUGGAAUCAUAUAGUAUUUGGCCUCUUGUGACUGUAUUAUUUCACUUAUAAUGUUCUUAAGGUUCAUCCAUGUUGUCAACAUUAUAGAAUUUCCUUCUUUUAGGGUGAAUAACGUCCCUCGGUGUGUGUGUGUGUGUGUGUGUGUGUGUGUGUGUGUUUGUGUAAAGAGAGAGAGGUUAUAUUUUCUUUAUCCAUUCAUCUGUUGAUUGACAUUUAGGUUGUUUCCACAUCUUGGCUAUUGUAUGUAAUGCUGUAAUGCAGGGGUCCCUAACAUCUGGGCCAUGGACCACUGUCAGUCCAAGGCCUGUUACAAAUUGUGCUGCACAGCAGCAAGUGAGUGGCAGGUGAACAAGCAUUAUUGCCUGAGCUCUGCCUCCUGUCAAAUCAGCAGUGGCGUUAGAUUUUCUUAGGAGCAUGAACCCUGUUGUUAACUGUGCAUGUGAGGGAUCUAGUUUACAUGCCCUUUAUGAAAAUCUAAUGCCUGAUGAUCUAAGGUGGGACAGUUUCAUCUUGAAACCAUCCCAUCACUCAUUGAAAAAUUGUCUUCCAUGAAACCAGUUCCUGCUGCCAAAAAGGUUGUAACCACUGCUGUAGUGAACAUGAGUGCAAAUAUUUCCUCAAAAAUUCAUGGUGGUGGCUCACACCUGUAAUCCCAGCACUUUGGGAGGCCAAGGCGAAUGGAUCAUUUGAGGUCAGGCAUUUGAGACCAGCCUAGCUAACAUGGUGAAACACGGUCUCUACUAAAAAUAUAAAAAAAAUUACCCAGGUCUAUGUAGUCCCCGCUACUUGGGAGGCUGAGGUGGGAGAAUCACUUGAACCUGCAAGGACGAAGGUUGCAGUGAGCCAAGAUUGUGCCGUUCCACUGUAGCCUGGGUGACAGAGUAAGACUGUCUCAAAACAAACAAACAAACAAAAACCUAUUAUUAGUUAUUUUGGAUAAAGAUGCCGAAGUGGGAUUUCUGGAACAUACAGUAGUUACAUUUUUAGUUUUGUGAGGAAUCUCCAAAAUUUUUUUUAAAAUAGUGUCUGCAGCAUUUUGCAUUCCUAUGAACAGUAUGUAGGGUUUACAGCAUCUCCAUCCUUGUCAACACUUGUUAUUCUUGUUUUUGGAUAAUGGUCGUUCAUACAAGUGCAUGUAUCUUUUUUGUACACUGAUUUAUUUCUUUUGGAUAUAUACCCAGUAAUGGGAUUAUGGGGUUGAAUACUACCUCUGUUUUAAGUUUGUUUGUUUUUUGAGACUGGAUGUGACUCUGUCACCUGAGCUGUAGUGCAGUGGUGAGAUAAUACAUAGCUCACUGCAGCCUCAAACUCCUGGACUCAAGUGAUCCUCCCACCUCAGCCUCCAAAAGUUCUGGGAUUACAGCUGUCAACCACCACAUCGGGCCUGUUUUAAGUUUUUUGAGAAAUCUCCAAACUGUUUUCCAUAGUGGCUGAACUAAUUUACAUUUCCACCAACAAUAUUUAAGUGUUCCCUUAAAUAGCCAUUCUUACUGAUAUGAGAAGGUAUCCCAUUGUGAUUUUGAUUUGCAUAUUCCUGAUGAUUACUAAUGGUAAGCAUCUGCUUAUAUACCUUUUGGCCUUUUGUAUGUUGUCUUUGAAUAAAUGUCUUCUUAGGUCCUUUGCCCAUUUAAAAGCAGGUUAUUUAUUUAUUUAUUUUUGCUAUUGCGUUAUAGGAGUCAUAUAUUGUGGAUUUUAGCCCCUUAGCAGAUGUAUAGUUUGCAGAUACUUUAUUCUGUAAGUUGCCUGUUUCCUCUGUUGAUUGUUUUCUUUGCUCUGCAGAAGUUUUUUAGCUUGAUGUAGUCUCACUUGUCUGUUUUUGUGCUUGUUGCCUGUGCUUUUGGUGUCAAAUUGUAGAAAUCAUGUCUAUGUUUGAAGCUUUUCUCUCAUGUUCUCUUCUUGGAGUUUUACAGUUUCAGGUCUUACUAAAGUUUCUCAUCUAUUUUGAGUUGACUUCUAUGUAUGGCGUAAAAUGAGGGUCAAAUUUGAAUUCUUUUUAUAUAGCUGCCCAGAUUUCCCAGUACCAUUUAUUGAAGAGACUGUUCUUUUCCCAUUGUGAAUUCUUGGCACCUUUCUUGACGAUCAAUUGCCUUUAUAUGCUUGGGUUUAUUUCUGGGCUUUCUGUUCUGUCCUAUUGGUCUGUAUGUCUGUUUUUAUGCCAGUACCAUACUGUUUUGAUAUGUUUUGAAAUGAGGAAGUUUGAGGUCUUUAGCUUUGUUGUUCUUUCUCGAGAUUGUUUUGGCUACAUUUGGGGCUUUUUUAGUUCUGUUUGGGUUUUAGGAUUGUUUUUGUGCUCCUGUAAAAAAUGCCAUUGGGAUUUUCAUUGAGAUUGUAUUGAAUCUGUACAUCACUGUGGGUAGUGUGAAUAUUUUAAUAUUACAUCUUCUAAUCCAUGAACAUGGAUGUCUUUCCAUUUAUUUGUGUCUUUAAUUUUUUUUAACAGUGCUUUGUAGUUUUCAGUGUACAAGUCUUUUGCCUCCUUUGUGAAGUGUAUUCUUAAUUAUUCUUUUUGAUGCUGUUGCUGUUGUAUAGCUCUUUUUUUUUUUUUUUUUUUUAAAUUUAGAAUGGGGUCUUGCUUUUUUGCCUGGGCUGGAGUGCACUGGUGCUAUCACAGCCCGCUGCAACCUUGAUCUCCCAGGCUCAAGCAGUCCUCCAGCUGCAGCCUCCCGAGUAGCUGGGACUGUGGCACAUACCACCACGCCCAGCUAAUUUUUUUUUUUUUUUUUUUUUGGUAGAAACAAGGUCUUUCCAUGUUUCCCAGGCUGGUCUCAAACUCCUGGGCUCAAACGAUUCACCUGCAUUUGCUGGGAUUACAGGUAUGAGCCACUGGACCAGGAUUUUAAUCCAUUUAAUGUUUGUAUAUGGAAUGAUGAAGGUAUCCAAUUUCAUUCUUUUGCAUGUAGAUGUUCUUUGGUUCUAGCACUGGUUUGUUGAAAAGACUUCAUUCUCUAUUGAAUUGUCCUGGCAUCAAAAAGUUGGUUGACUUAGCCUUGUGCAGUGGCACACUCCUAUAGUCUCAGCUGUUUGCGAGGCUGAGAUGGGAGGAUCUUUGAGCCCAGGAGUUCGAGUCCAGCCUGGGCAACAUCAUAAGACACCCCGCUUCUAAAAAAAGAAUACAUAAAAUUUAACAAAAAAGAUUGACCAUAAAUGUAGAUAUUUAUGUCUGGACUGUAAAUUCUAUUCCUUGAUCUAUAUGUUUAUCUUCAUUCUAGUACCACAGUGUCUUAAUUACUGUAGCUUUGUUAGUUUUAAAAUCAGAAUGUAUGGAUCCUCCAACUUUGUUCUUCUCGUUCAAGAUUGUUUUGGAUUUUCUCUGUCCUUUGCAAUUCCAUAUUAAUUUUAGUAUUAGUUUGUCCAUUUCUGCAAGAAAAGCUUCUGGGGUUUUGAUAUGAAUUGCAUUGAAUCAGUAGGUGAUUUGAUGAAGCAUUUUCAUCUUAACAAUAUGAAGUUUUUCAAUCCAUGAACACUAUAUGUUUGUUUAGGUCUUUAUUAAUUUCUUCCAGGGAUGUUUUGUAGUUUUCAGUGUACAAUUGUACUUGUUUUGUUAAAUUUAUUACCAAGCACUUUAUUUAUUUUUUGCUGCUAUUAUAAAUGUUAUUUUCUUAAUUUUAUUUUUGAAUUGUUCAUUGCUAGUGUAUAGAAAUAUAACUGAUUUUUGUAAACUGUUCUUGUACUUUGCAUCCUUGCCGAACUUGUUUAUUCUGGUAGCUUUUAGUGGAUUCCAUAGGGUUUUCUAUAUUUAUGAUCAUGUCAUCUGCAAAUAGAGUUUUAUUUUUUUCCAAUAUUAAUGCCAUUUAAUUCACUUUCUUGCUUAAUUUACUGUCCAUUCUCACAUUGCUAUAAAGCAAUAUCCAAGACUGGGUAAUUUAUAAAGGAAAGAGGUUUAAUUGACUCAUAGUCCACAUGGCUGGGGAGGCCUCAAGAAACUUACAAAUAUGGCAGAAGGCGAAGUGGGAGUAAGGACCUUUUUCACAUGUUGGCAGGAGAGAGAAGUGCAAGUAGUGGAAAUUCCAGAUGCUUAUACAACCAUCACAUCUUUGAGAACUCAUUCACUAUUACGAGAACAGCAUGGGGCAACUGCCCUAUCAUCCAGUCAUCUCUCUCCCUUGACACGUGGGGUUUACACGUCCCUCCCUUGACGUGGGGAUUAUAAUUUGAGAUCAAAUUUGGGUGGGAACACAGAGCCAAACCAUAUCAUUUACCUUGCUCUAGUACCUCUACUACAGUGUUGAAUAGAAGGAGUAGCAAGAGCAGACAUCCUUGUCUUAUUUCUAAUCUUAGGAGGAAGCACUUAUUAUUUUACUUUUAAAUAUGAUAUUAGCUUUGGAUUUUUCAUAGAUGGCCUUUAUCAGGUUGAAGAAGUUUCCUUUCCUAGUUUGUUGGGUGUUUUUAUUGUGUAAGGGUAUUGUAUUUCAUCAGAUGUUUUUCUUCAUCUGAGAUGAUUUGCCAAAAAUAAAGGUUUUUGGCCUUUGUUCUUUUGAUGUGGUGUAUUAUAUUGAUUUUCAGAUGUUAAGCCAACCUUACAUUUCUGAGAUGAAUCCUACAUGGUCAUACAUUAUCCUUUCUAUGUGUUGGUAUAUCUGGCUUGUUAAUAUUUUGUUGAGGAUUUUUGCUACUACAUUUGUAAGAGCUAUUGGCUUGUCAUUUUCUUUUCUUGUGAUGUCUUUUUCUUGUGUUGGUAAUAGUAAUACUGAUCUUAUAAAAUGAGUUGAAGAAUAUUCUCCCCAAUUUUUGGGAAGAGUUUGUGAACAGUUGAUAUUAAUUUUUCAUUAACCAUUUGGUAGAAUUCACCAGUGAAGCCAUCUGAGCCUGCAGGUUUUUGUUUUUGUUUUUGUUUUUGGCAGCAGCUGGGGGGACUUUUAAAUUAAGAAGUCAGUUUUAUUUAAUGGUUAUAGGAGUUAUUUGUAUUCUCUGCUUCAUCUUGGUUGUGUUUUGCUAGUGUGGUUUUGAGAAUUCGGUGUCAAGUUUAAGAUCAUAAAGUUGUUUGUAGUAUUCCCUUAUAUUCUUUUAAAAUUGCUGUAGGAUCUGUGCUGGUGUCCUCUGUUAAAUUUUCUGUCUCCUCUUUGUCUUUUGUUGUUGUUGUUAGUUUUACUAGAGGCUUAUAAACUUUUUGCUUAAUUGAUUUUCUCUAUUUUCCUCUUUUUUAUUAAUUUCUCCUCUUUAUUAUUUUCUUCCUUCUUGCUUUGGCUUCAUUUUGCUCUUUUUUAGUUUCUUUUGGUAAUUUGGUUACUAGUUUGACAUCUUUCCUCAUGUCUAAUGUAAGCAUUUAGUGCUUCUGAUUGUUGUUAGCUACAUCCCAUGUAUUUUGAUAUGUGUUAUGUUUUUAUUUUCAUUUAUUUUUACGUAUAUUUUAAAAUUUUAUUCGAGACUUCCGUUUUGAUCCAUGGACUCUUUAGAAGUGUGUUGUUUAUUCAUCUGUUUAGAGAUUUUCCUAUUGUCUUUCUGUUACUGAUUUCUGGUUUGAGUAGAUUAUGGUCGGAGAAUACAGUGUUACUGUUUCAGUUCUUUUAAGGUUUUUGAGGUUUAUUUUAUGGCUUUGGUGAAUGUUCCGGGGUACGUUCACCAAAUGAAAAUGUAUAUUCUGCUAUUAUUGAGUGGAAUAUUCUUUAUAUAAGUUAAUAAGACUGUUGGUUGAUUGUGUUGUUAAUGUAACCACUCUGCUUAAAACAGUUUAUUGUUAUAUCUUUCCAUUAUUGUGCUUUCAACUAUGUUGCUGAAUUUGAAUUUCUUGCAAGCAACAUAUAAUUGGGCCAUUAAAAAGAAAAAUCUACUCAAGCUGUUGUUACUACCACCAGCACAGCUGUGCCAGAGCUGAGAGAAGAUCCAGAGCCCAGAGCAUCCAGGCCACUGCCUCACCUCCACCUGUGUUCCAUCACCUGCCACCUGCAUCCUCAGUCCUCCUCCAAUAAUCUGGUAAAACAUAAUGGAUUACUAUGAAGUUCUAGGUGUGCAGAGACAUACUUCACCCAAGGAUGUUAAAAAAUAUUGGAAACUGGCACUGAUGUGGCACCCAGAUUAAAUUCUGAGAAUAAAGAAGAAGCAGAGAGAAAAUUAAGUGGCUGAGUCAUGUGAGGUGCUGUAAGAUGCUAAAAGUUGGUACAUCUAUGACAGAUGUGGCAAAGAAGGAUUAAAUGGUGGAGGAGGAGGUGGAAGUCAUUCCAUUUGAGUUUGGUUUCACAUUCUAUAACCCGUAUGAUACCUUCAGGGAAUUUUUUGGUGGAAGGGACCCAUUUUCAUUUGACUUCUUUGAAGACCCCCUUGAGGACUUUUUUUGGAAUCAAAGGGGUCCCUGAGGAAGCCACAGGACAGAGUCAUUUUUCUACAUUCAGUGGAUUUCCAUUUUUUGGAAGUGGAUUUUCUUCUUUUGAUCCAAGAUUUAUUUCAUUCAGGUCACUAGGUCAUGGGGGCUUCACUUCAUUCUCUUCCGUGUCAUUUGGUGGUAGUGGGAUGGGCAACUCCAAAUUGAUAUCAGCUUCUGCUAAAAUGGCUAAUGACAGAAAGAUCACUACAAAGAGAAUUGUUGAGAAUGGUCAAGAAAGAAUAGAAUUUGAAGAAUAUGGCCAAUUAAAGUCCUUAAUGAUACAUGGUAAGGAGCUGCUGCUGCACAUGGGUAACAAGUAAUUCCUUGCAUACAUUUAACAGAAAUGUUAAACUAUAUCAAGCACCAUUUGAGUAUUAACAGGAACUUUUUUUUGAACAUUUCAAAUGAACUCAACUUUCAGUAAUUGUACCAAAUCUAAACUAUUUAUAAACAGCUCAACAGAGCCCCCAUUUGUCAUGGACUUUUGAGUUUAUUGUUGAGACCACAUAAUAGGACUGUUUUUUUUUUUUAUUGUCUUUAAAAUUGUAAAUCUCUGUAUGUACUUUGCGUUUUUAUUUAAGUGUACUCCAAGGUGAGCCUUGACACUUUAGUGAUAGGAAAAGAUUGCACACUAAAAAACAAACCAGAAAAAACCACACAUAUAAAAGCAUGGAUCCGCUUUUCCAUCGUGAUUUAAAAUGUGAGCCAUGUAGUGUUAGCCUGCUCUAAAGUUAACAUUGCCAGGAUGAAUCUUCUACAGAAAUAGUUACACUUCUGGUUUAAUAGAAAUUAAGAAUUUUUUCCGGUAGUGCAUGAUUGUUUUUUCCUUCUAUUCCUGCAGAUUACUAGAACCUCUAUUUAGGAUUCCAUCUUGGCUUAUUUAUAGUGUUGUUUUGCAUCUAUCUCUUGGUUUUGUAGUGGCUGUUUUGGUUAUUGUAAUAAGCAUACGCGACUUAGUCUGUGGUAUCAACAUUUAUACUUCAACAGAAGUGUGGAAACCUCACUUUAAUUUACCUUUCGCCUUCUCCAAUUUGAAAUAUAAUUGUCUUGAGUAUCAGAUAAUGUUAUAACUUUUGUUUAAAGCAUGAAAUACUAUUUAUAAAACGAAUGAAGAAAAAGGUAGUCUUGUUUAUACCUCUGUUUCCAUUCUUUCUAUUGUUUCUUUUUUUGAUAUUUCGUCAUUCCUUUAAAAAAUCAUUUUCUUUAUGUUUAGGAAAUUUUCUUUAGCCAUUCUUUAUGGAUUGGUGUGCUAGAGACAUUUUUUUAAAACUUUUCUUCUUUUGAGAAUAUACUUUUAUUUCCUCAUUAUUUUGGAAGGGCAGUUUCACUGGAUAUAGAAUUCCCAGUUGGCAGUUGUCUUUUUUCCAAUAUUUGAAAAAUACUGUACCACUUUUAUUUUUUUGCCUCUGUGGUUUGAGAUGAGAAAUCUGGUGUCAUUUGAAUUGACAUCCCCUUAUGGGUAAUGUGUUGUUUCUCUCAUGCUGCUUUCAAGAUAUUUUUAUUUUAUUUUAUUUUUUGUCUUUAGGUUUUUGAAUGUUUAAUUAUGCUGUAUUAGUGUAAACUUCAUUAGGUUUAUUCUUUUUGGAUUUGCUUAGCUAUUUGGAUCUGCAAGUUAGUGUUCCUUAAAUUUGAGAAUGUUUCAGUCAUCAUUUCUUCAAGUAAUGUUUGAGCCCCACUCCCUUUUUUCCUUCUUUAUGGGACUUUGAUGGUGUGAAUGUUGGAUCUUUUUUGGUUUUUGGCCCUAUAGUUUCCUAAAGCUAUUACUUGUUUCAAUUUACUUUCCUCUCUUAUUCACAUUGGGUGAAGGUAAACAAGAGAGGAAAGUAAAUUGAAAAAAGUAUUCUCUUCCCGGUCAUUUUCUUUUUUUUUCCCUCUGAAACAGAGUGUGACUUGGUCACCCAGGCUGGAGUUAGUGGCACAAUUUUGGCUCACUGCAGCCUCUACCUCCCAGGCUCAAGUCAUCCUGAGUAGCCGGGACUACAGGUGUAAGCCACCAUGCCUGUCUAAUUUUUAUAUUUUUUUGUAGAGACGGGAUUUUGCUCUGCUGCCCAGGAUGGUCUUGAACUCCUGAGCUCAAGUGAUCUACCUGCCUUGACCUUCUAAACUGCUGGGAUUACAGGCAUGAGCCAUCAUGCCCGGCCCAUCUCUAUGUUUUAAUUGAGCCCCUCUUAAAAAUUUAUUUUACUUUUUAGUUCUCUUAAUUUUUUCUUCUUAUUUAUUUGCUUAUUUAUUUAAUUUAAUUUUUGUUGUUGUCGU